GCUUAGCAUGCGAGUCGAGAGGGUUCGGCCCUCGGCAGACUGCUCAGUAACACGUGGAGAACUUGCCCUACGCUGGAGAAUAAUCUCGGGAAACUGAGGACAAUGCUCCAUAGCUCCGCCGUCCUGGAACGGUGGUGGAGUCAAAGCUCCGGCGGCGUAGGAUAGCUCUGCGGCCUAUCAGGUCGUAGCGAGGGUAACGUCCUCGCUAGCCUUCGACGGGUAUGGGUGUUGGGAGACAUCGCCCAGAGAUGGAUUCUGAGACACGAAUCCAGGUCCUACGGGACGCAGCAGGCGCGAAAACUGCACAAUGUGGGAAACCACGAUGCGGGAAACCCAAGUGCCAGCACUAUGUGUUGGCUGUCCUCGACUGUUCGUAAGUCGGGAAGAAAGUGCUGGGUAAGACGGGUGCCAGCCGCCGCGGUAAUACCCGCAGCACAAGUGGUGGUCAUUAUUAUUGGGCCUAAAGCGUCCGUAGCUGGCCUGUCAGAUGCCUGGGUAAAUCGAUGCGCUCAACGUAUCGAA
rnacentral:rRNA from 1 species